GCUUUCGUGGUGUAGUGGUCAGCAUGCUCGACGCGUAACCGAGAGGUCCGUGGUUCGAUUCCCGGCAAAGGCG
rnacentral:tRNA from 1 species